ACCAGGGCGAGGAGGGGGGCUUUGCUGGGAUCUCCCCCGGCGGAACUAGAAUGGGACUAUGAGGGAGGUCACCGAACGGAGGAGGGAGGCUGGGUCCUGGAGGAGGUCGACGGCCGAGGUUCUCCCAGGGCGGCGGCACGCGGCAGAGCUGCUUUCGACAGAGAAUGGGGAAGGAGUGGGCGCCAGCGACGGGUCGGGAUUAUGUGGACAGACGGAUGCGGUUAUGUUGACGUGAAGGUCAAUAUCUUGAAUAUUUGGUCUCUGUAGGUUUCCGUGUUUCCCCCCAAUCCCCAAAUUAUUAGGGUUUGCAGGGAGGUAGAGUUAUUCAUGUACUGCAAAAGAGUAAACUCCGACGUAGGAGAGUUGAGGCUGGAGUUGUUCCUAGGGUUGUUGUGUGGUUCAGAUUCAUUUUGAUUGCUAUCAGUACAAUUUGUAUCUAAGCCUGGGGACAGUUUGGUUGCAAAUUGAAGUUUCAGUUUGGAUUCUCUAUUGUUUUGCUUUGAACUA